UAAAAAGAUGUGGAAAGAGUUACAUCUAAAAAGAGUGUGAAAACUACCACCACAUGUAGGAAAGAGCUACCACCCCGGUCGUUCGGAAAGUGUGUGAAGCUACCACAUGGAAAUUAACGGAUUAGCCGAAAAGGUUGAAAAAUAGUGAAUAUUUUAGAUUUUUCGGAGUUAUAAGGUUGUAGAAUGAAAAGAUGCUCAAAGAGCCACCUCCGGUGUUUUAUUAGCUAAAUCUCAAAUUUGAACGUUUUGCGACAAAUUGGUGUCGAUUUUGCUGAAUCUCUAUAAAUCAUUUUUUCAUGAACCAUUACAUCUUGAUAGAUUUUGAACCAUUAGAUUAUUUUUGAUGACUUAUUUUUGAAGUUUAGAUGAAUUAAGAAAUCAUGUAAUCUUUUAUAUUCAUCAUGAUGAUUGUGGAGUACAAUUUUCAAUUUUUGCGAAAUUAACUUGAUUUGAAUCAAUUUGAUAUGAAAAUUUUGAUUUCGAGGCACUAGGUACCGGUACUAGGUGUUGGGUACUGGUACGAGCCAAACCGGUACUGUUUAACCCGAAUGUUUAAAAAACAGUUUUUUAUAUGGGCUACCGGUACGCGGGUUCGAGUACCGGUACGCAGUCUACGGAAUUAAUUUUAAAUACUAGUAUUAAGUUUUAUUUUUUCCCCAAUAGUUCAUCAAAACCCUUCCCUUCUCUCUCUAAAAAUCCCCUAGCAUCAUUCUCGCCCGGAUCUACAAGUUUUCUGUAGAGAUUUGUAU
rnacentral:lncRNA from 1 species